rnacentral:lncRNA from 1 species
UUAUUAUUCGUUCUUAAUAUUUGUUUUUAUUCUCGUUCCAACUAGGGAUGUCAAUGGGUAUGGAUAUCCGAAAUUUUAUCUAAAUUCGAAUCUGAAUGAGACGGAUAUAUUCGAUGGAUAUGAAUAUGGAUUCGGAUAUGGAUAUCAAAAAUAGAAACCCGACGGAUAUGGAUUCGGAUAUGGAUUUUGAUUGUAUCCGACUCGAACCCAAACCCGACCCGAAUCCGAAUUUAUCUUGUAUUAUAUAUAAUAUAUAAAAAAAAAUUUGAUGUUAUAUUUGAAUUUGUAUUUUAAAAAUUUAGAUUUAAUAUAAUAUAUUUUGAAAUAUUGAAAAUUAGAAAUAAUUGUUUCGGCUUUAAAUUUUCGGGUUUGGGUUUCGGAUUUUUGGUCGGAUUCAGGUUUGGAUAUGGAUUUUUAAAAUCCGUCGGAUUUGGGUGCGGGUUUGGAGUCGGUUUCGGGUUCGGAUUUUUAAAAAUUCGCCCCAAAUCU